rnacentral:lncRNA from 1 species
AUAGUCCUUAAAAAAUGCCUACCAUGCAGGAAGUGAAAUAAGGUUCUUGGACUCAGCAGAAAUGGGAAAUUCUGACCUUCAGAUAACAUUUUCAGGGGUUGGAGACAUGGCUCAGCAAUUAAGAGCACUGGCUGCUCUUCCAGAGGGCCUGGGUUCAAGAACCAGCACCCACAUGGCAGCUCCAGUUCCAGGAGUCCAGCUCAUGGGAUGCUGCUGCUUACAUUCAAGCUGAGUCUUCCCUCCUGAGUUAAAGUUUUCUAGAAACUUUGUGGAUAUACCUAGAGAGUCAACUGAAGUGUAAGGAUGUAAUUCGGCCAAGGUUCCACAGAUAGGGAGGAACAAGGAUGAGACUCAGACCUGAUCCUUUUCACAAGAAAGUCAAAGUCCUAGGGGCUGGAGAUCUGAGCCCUGACUGCUCUUCCAGAGGACCUGAGUUUAAUUUCCAGCCACCACAUCAUGGCUCACAACCAUCUAUAAUGAGAUCUGAUGCCCUCUUCUGGCUUGCAGUGCAGGCAUACAUGGAGG